AGCAGCCGCAGUAAUUCCAGCUCCAAUAGCGUAUAUUAAAGUUGUUGCAGUUAAAAAGCUCGUAGUUGAAUUUCGGGAUCAGUACGCUGGUCAUGCCUUUGGUAUGCACUGGUGUCACUGGUUUCUCCCUUCUGAAGAGCCGUGAUGUCAUUAAUUUGGUGUCGCGGGGAAUCAGGACUGUUACUUUGAAAAAAUUGAGUGUUUAAAGCAGGCUCACGCUUGAAUACAUUAGCGUGGAAUAAUGAAAUAGGACGUUUGACCCUAUUUUGUGGUUUUUAGGAUCGACGUAAUGAUUAAUAGGGAUAGUUGGGCAUUAGUAUUCAAUUGUCAGAGGUGAAAUUCUUGGAUUUAUUGAAGACUAACUACUGCGAAAGCAUUUGCCAAGGAU
rnacentral:rRNA from 1 species